rnacentral:rRNA from 1 species
GGAGCCGUAGCGAAAGCGAGUUUUAACUGAGCGUUCAGUUACUUGACGUAGACCCGAAACCGGGCGACCUACCCAUGAGCAGGAUGAAGCGAAAGUAAAAUUUCGUGGAGGUCCGAACCCACGAGCGUUGAAAAGCUCGGGGAUGACUUGUGGGUAGCGGUGAAAUUCCAAUCGAGCCCGGAGAUAGCUGGUUCUCCCCGAAAUAGCUUUAGGGCUAGCCUCAAGGUGAG